UACGUAGGCAGCAAGCGUUGUUCGGAGUUACUGGGCGUAAAGGGUGCGUAGGCGGCUCUAUAAGUAUGGUGUGAAAUCUCCCGACUUAACUGGGAGGGUGCGCCGUAGACUGUGGGGCUAGAGUGUGGGAGAGGAAAGUGGAAUUCCUGGUGUAGCGGUGAAAUGCGUAGAUAUCAGGAGGAACACCGGUGGUGUAAACGGCUUUCUGGACCAUAACUGACGCUGAGACACGAAAGCCAGGGGAGCAAACGGG
rnacentral:rRNA from 1 species